rnacentral:lncRNA from 1 species
AGUAGUCAGGUCUUCACACUGAAUUGCUGAUGAGCUGUAUUGUUUUUAAAAAAGUACAGACCGCAUAGACACAGACUGCACUGGGUAUUCAUGAACCGCUAACCAGCCAUAAUGGAUUUAAAUGAACUGUCUCAGAGCUAUGUAUGGGUUCGAUACUUAUUGUUCUUGGUCUGGCUAUUCAACAUCAUGAUGAUGUUCAUACUAACACACUUGGAGGCUGACGAAGAACGGAUGCUGCAGCGGUGUGAGAGAGCAGAACGAGAACUCAGAGAACGUUCAGCAUCCAUUGACACCAG